GACGAACGCUGGCGGCGUGCUUAACACAUGCAAGUCGAACGGUAAGGCCCUUCGGGGUACACGAGUGGCGAACGGGUGAGUAACACGUGGGUGAUCUGCCCUGCACUUCGGGAUAAGCCUGGGAAACUGGGUCUAAUACCGGAUAGGACCACUGCCUGCAUGGGUGGUGGUGGAAAGCUUUUGCGGUGUGGGAUGGGCCCGCGGCCUAUCAGCUUGUUGGUGGGGUGAUGGCCUACCAAGGCGACGACGGGUAGCCGGCCUGAGAGGGUGACCGGGCACACUGGGACUGAGAUACGGCCCAGACUCCUACGGGAGGCAGCAGUGGGGAAUAUUGCACAAUGGGCGCAAGCCUGAUGCAGCGACGCCGCGUGAGGGGUGACGGCCUUCGGGUUGUAAACCUCUUUCAGCACCGACGAAGCGCAAGUGACGGUAGGUGCAGAAGAAGGACCGGCCAACUACGUGCCAGCCGCCGCGGUAA
rnacentral:rRNA from 1 species